rnacentral:rRNA from 1 species
GACGAACGCUGGCGGCGUGCCUAACACAUGCAAGUCGAACGGAAACGCCCUGCUUUUGUGGGGUGCUCGAGUGGCGAACGGGUGAGUAACACGUGAGUAACCUGCCCUUGACUUUGGGAUAACUUCAGGAAACUUGGGCUAAUACCGGAUAGGAUCUCCCGCUGCAUGGUGGGGGUUGGAAAGUUUCGGCGGUUGGGGAUGGACUCGCGGCUUAUCAGCUUGUUGGUGGGGUAGUGGCUUACCAAGGCUUUGACGGGUAGCCGGCCUGAGAGGGUGACCGGCGACAUUGGGACUGAGAUACGGCCCAGACUCGUACGGGAGGCAGCGGUGGAGAAUAUUGCACAAUGGGCGGGAGCCUGAUGCAGCAACGCCGCGUGCGGGAUGACGGCCUUCGGGUUGUGAACCGCUGUCGCCUGUGACGAAGCGUGAGUGACGGUAAUGGGUGAAGAAGCACCGGCUAACUACGUG